CCCGCCCCCCCGGCUCUGCUCCUUUCGAAGGUGGCUGAUUCCCAUGCCUUCCUGCAGGAGGCACCUCAGCCUGCAUGAGCUGUAGAUGAGUCGUCAGCCUGGGGGUGAGGGGCAAGUUUUGCAAAUGCAGAGCAAGGGGGCAGGAGGAGGCUGACCUUGACCGGACAGGGGCAGCCUGGGGUGUCCAGAAGUUUCCCGCCCCUCAGCCGAGGAGGGGGCAGAACAAGCAGAACCCCUCCCCGUUUCCUUGGCUCAGCUCCCCUUUCCGGGGGAGGAACCCAGCCUGUUUCUGAGGUGGUGGAAGCAGCCUGGGGGCUCUAAGACCAGCCUGGGUUUCCACCUUUCCCCUUCGCCCAUAGCCACAGAAGGGGCUCCUUGGGAGCACGUCCCCAGGAAUGACCAGUCAGUGGGAAUCCAUGCCCUGAGAAGCCGGCCCUCUGCCGCUGCUUCAGGGAGCAAAACCGAGGGACACAUGCUGCAGCCCGCCACCCUCCCUACGGCGGGCUGCUCACAAGCAGCCCCUGCGCUUCCCUCGGACCACCGACCUGGGGCUGGAACCGCCCACACUUGCUUGGCUCCUCUUCCCAGGGCCCGCAGGCCCUCCCCUGCCCCAUGCCGGCUGUCGAAGGAGAGCCUCUGCUAAUUUUUCUCACAGCUUUGCUUUUAACAGAAAGACCGUCCGUGGCUGCGUGCCCCCACUCGGCCCUCGUGCCAGCCUCUCGCUGGGCUGCUACCAUCCCUUAUGAGGGUGGUAACUGGUCCUCUUUCUUUCCAGGUGGGGGCCUUGCAGUCCUUGGAAGCCAGAGCGGACCCUUCCCAGUUGCCCAGGUGCUCCCUGGCUCCGGAGGACUCCUCCUCCAAGGAUGGGCGCCAGGGCCAGUGGCUCCGAAGGCGGCGGCUGGAUGGGGCCCUCAACAGAGUCCCAGUGGGGUUCUACCAGAAGGUCUGGAGGAUUCUCCAGAAGUGCCAUGGGCUCUCCGUUGAAGGCUUUGUUCUCCCUUCUUCCACAACCCGAGAGAUGACUCCCGGAGAAAUCAAGUUUGCAGUCCACGUUGAGUCCGUGCUAAACAGGGUUCCUCAGCCUGAAUACCGGCAGCUCUUUGUAGAAGCUAUCCUGGUCCUGACGCUGCUGACGGAUGCCGACAGCCCCAGCAUUGGGGGCCUCGUGGCUGUGGACAGGAUUGUGCACGUUGCAAACGACCUGUUCUACCACGAGCAGAAAAUCCUGGGGGCUGACGACAGCAUGCUGGAGAAGGACCCGGCCACGGGCGUUUGCAAGCUGCUCUACGACAGCGCUCCGAGCGGCAGAUUUGGCAGCAUGACCUACCUCUCCAGAGCGGUGGUCACCUGCGUGCAGGAGUUCCUCCCUAGCAGCGGCUGCUCCAUGCAGUAUCCCAGAGCUGUAGUUUUUCUAGAAUCUCUGCCUGCCCCCUGCCUUCAUCUCCCCGCAGGGGUCUUCCGCUGAAUGGAGCAAAGGACACUUGGAGGAGUCAGGAGGUGGGAAUGGCAAACACUCAGCAGGGGGCAGACUGGUCCAGGUGGCUUCCCUCUUCCUUCCUGUACUGUUCUACAGGGUGUUGAAGGAAGUAUAUGCAGCCUUCCGCCCCGAAGCCGUUGUCCUGCAGUUGGGAGCAGAUACAAUUGCGGGUGACCCCAUGUGUUCGUUCAACCUGACCCCGGAGGGGAUUGGCAAGUGCCUGAAAUAUGUUCUGCAGUGGCAGCUGCCGACCCUCGUCCUGGGAGGAGAUAGGAGGCUAUCACCUUGCUAACACCGCCCGCUGCUGGACAUACCUGACUGCUGUCAUUCUGGGGAAAACGCUACACUCUGAAAUUCCAGAUCAUGAG